rnacentral:rRNA from 1 species
GUGCCAGCAGCCGCGGUAAUACGGAGGGUGCAAGCGUUAAUCGGAAUUACUGGGCGUAAAGCGCGCGUAGGUGGUUCAGUCAGUCAGAUGUGAAAGCCCCGGGCUUAACCUGGGAAUUGCACCUGAUACUGCUGAGCUAGAGUACAGUAGAGGGGAGUGGAAUUUCCUGUGUAGCGGUGAAAUGCGUAGAUAUAGGAAGGAACACCAGUGGCGAAGGCGACUCUCUGGACUGAUACUGACACUGAGGUGC